GGGUCAGUAGGUUGGUCGUGCCACCGGUACGUACUGGUCUCACUGAUUCCUCCUCCCUGAAGAACCGUAAUGCCAUUAAUUUGGUGUUGCGGGGAAACAGGACUGUUGCUUUGAAAAAAUUAGAGUGUUUAAAGCAAGCUAACGCUUGAAUACAUUAGCAUGGAAUAAUGAAAUAGGACGAUCGAUCCUAUUUUGUUGGUUUCUAGGAUUGACGUA
rnacentral:rRNA from 1 species